ensembl:snRNA U6 U6 spliceosomal RNA
GUGCUUACUUUAGCAGCACAAAUAUUGCAAAUUGGAAUAACAAAGAGAAGAGUAGCAUGGCCUCUGUGCAAGGAUGACAUACAAAACUUUGUGAAGUGUCUGAUAUUGUU